AGUUUGAAUUACUGGUUUGGCCCCCCAAUACCUAACGAGACCCAGCUGUUGGGGGCGGUCCUCGAUUUUACAAGGGGGAUUUUUCUACGACCUCAUAAUAGCAAUAUUGCAACCUACAGUAACCACAACAUUUUUUUUGACUGUAUAGA
ensembl:ncRNA F58A4.20 ncRNA